AGUGAACGCUGGCGGCAGGCCUAACACAUGCAAGUCGAGCGGCAGCGCGUCCGACCACCCUCGGGUGGUCGGAUGGCGGCGAGCGGCGGACGGGUGAGGAAUGCAUCGGAAUCUGCCUCGUUGUGGGGGAUAACGUAGGGAAACUUACGCUAAUACCGCAUACGACCUACGGGUGAAAGUGGGGGACCUUCGGGCCUCACGCGAUGAGAUGAGCCGACGCCGGAUUAGCUAGUUGCGGGGUAAAGGCCCACCAAGGCGACGAUCCGUAGCUGGUCUGAGAGGAUGAUCAGCCACACUGGAACUGAGACACGGUCCAGACUCCUACGGGAGGCAGCAGUGGGGAAUAUUGGGACAAUGGGGGCAACCCUGAUCCAGCCAUGCCGCGUGUGUGAAGAAGGCC
rnacentral:rRNA from 1 species